rnacentral:rRNA from 1 species
UACAGAGGUCCCAAGCGUUGUUCGGAUUCAUUGGGCGUAAAGGGUGCGUAGGCGGCGCGGUAAGUCGGGUGUGAAAUCUCGGGGCUUAACUCCGAAACUGCAUUCGAUACUGCCGUGCUUGAGGACUGGAGAGGAGGCUGGAAUUUACGGUGUAGCGGUGAAAUGCGUAGAUAUCGUAAGGAAGACCAGUGGCGAAGGCGGGUCUCUGGGCCUGUGCUGACGCUGAGGAGCGAAAGCGUGGGGAGCAAACAGG